AUGAUGGGCAGGCAGGUGCCCGGCCGGCUCCUGGCUCAGAGGCCCGCCUUGGUGGGGGGCAGGAGCGACUGCACGGCUGGCUGCCGUCCUCGGCCCGUUGGCGGCAGCUCUGCCCGGCUGGCUGCGGCAGGGCUCCCGCCGGUCUCGGGGCUUGACCCGGGAGCGCCGCAGGCGGGAGGCCGGCGCCCCGGAGCCGCUUCGCCCCGCCCUUUCCGUCUUGCCCGCCCCACCGCCUCGACCCCCCGGUGGCGUCCGGGCGGCGCAGGGGAGGAGAGGCCGAGCGGGGAGGCCCAAUCCCAGCCGCCGCGCCCUGGCACCCUCUGCUCUCCGCCCGGCAACCAGGCCGAAGCCUCCGGCAGAAAGCAAGGCGCUCACCGCCCCCACCCGGCACGUGCCCCGGGGCCCGGCUGGGCGCCGGGGCCUGGCAUCUCCCGGGCGCAUGCGCCCGCGGCAGCCGCCGCUGCAGGGAAGGGGCGGCCCCUCGGCGCGGAGGGAUCCAGGCAGCAACGUGACGACGCCCCGAGCCGCCCCGGCGGACUUCCGGGGGGCAGGGCGGGGCCGGCGCGCGGCCAGGUGUGGGGGGAGCACGUGCCACGCACCUCGCCGUGCGGACCCUCCCAGCAGCCCCCGGCCUGGAGCGGAGCCCCGCGGCUUCUGGCCGGGCUCAGCUCUGCCCGGAAGGAAAUUCCGGCACCUGAAUGCGAUGGGGCCAGGCGGCGACUCGGGGCGCCCAACGAAGCCCGGGCCGCCGCAUCACUCCCUCCCGCGCCGCCCAGAAAAACGCCUGGCUGGCAACACGGGCAGAGGCAGCGGGUCUCCGCUGAUCGAACUCGCCCGGACCCGCCGGACCGGUUUCUUCUGCAUUCAGGGAGCGGCCUGCCUCCCACUCCUGACCUUCCCCCGGGGAGCCGAGCAGGAAGGAGGCAGGCCUCGCCCAAGUCUGGCGCACGGUCCUGUUGGCUGAAGCACCCACCUGGAAAGCAAACAGCGCCUGGCAGGGCCGGGCCUGUUGCUGCUGUCCUGCAGAGGGGCGCUUUGGAGCAUUCCAGGGGUGAAUCCUGA
rnacentral:lncRNA from 1 species